GGUCUCAUCGUUUAGCGGUCAGGACACCAGGUUCUCAUUUUGGUAACACGGGUUCGACUUCCGUUGAGGCUA
rnacentral:tRNA from 1 species